UAGGGAAUCUUCCACAAUGGACGCAAGUCUGAUGGAGCAACGCCGCGUGAGUGAAGAAGGUUUUCGGACCGUAAAGCUCUGUUGUUGGUGAAGAAGGAUAGAGGUAGUAACUAGCCUUUAUUUGACGGUAAUCAACCAGAAAGUCACGGCUAACUACGUGCCAGCAGCCGCGGUAAUACGUAGGUGGCAAGCGUUGUCCGGAUUUAUUGGGCGUAAAGCGAGCGCAGGCGGAAGAAUAAGUCUGAUGUGAAAGCCCUCGGCUUAACCGAGGAAUUGCAUCGGAAACUGUUUUCUUGAGUGCAGAAGAGGAGAGUAGAACUCCAUGUGUAGCGGUGGAAUGCGUAGAUAUAUGGAAGAAUACCAGUGGCGAAGGCGGCUCUCUGGUCUGCAACUGACGCUGAGGCUCGAAAGCAUGGGUAGCGAACAGGAUUAGAUACCCUGGUAGUCCAUGCCGUAAACGAUGAGUGCUAAGUGUUGGGAGGCUUCCGCCUCUCAGUGCUGCAGCUAACGCAUUAAGCACUCCGCCUGGGGGAGUACGACCGCAAGGUUGAAAC
rnacentral:rRNA from 1 species